UGAUUAUUUUACAUUGGGAAAACAAAACUCAACCAAACCCCAUUACAAAAUUAGUAUUUUCUUGAAGAAUCAGCAAAAAAUUAGGUGUUAAAACGAAAUCUUAACAAACACAAGUCUUUAUCAUUCAUCCAUCCCCUGUUUCUUUGUUAUUUUUUCACCAACAAACGAAAACCCCAUUUCAUCUUCUUUGGGGUUUUAAGAAGAUGAUAGAACCCAAAAAACAGAGCAAAAACAGAGGUUUUUAUGUAAGAAUGAAGCUUUUAAAUCACAACAAUGGCGGAAGUAGAAACAGAGGAUUGUUUUGUUACAGAUAUUUCAAAUGGGUUCUUUGGUUUUCACUUUCUUUUUAUUUUUUUGCUUCGUUUCUAUUCAAUCAUAAACCUAAUACCAUUUCUAAAACUACCGUUCCUCAAUAUUCUAAAGCUUCUCGUGCUCUUAUUGAAUACCCUGAAACUCAACACCAUCGAGAUUCGUUGAAUGGAUUGAAGAUUUACGUUUACGAUUUGCCGAGUAAAUACAAUAUCGAUUGGUUAUCAAAUGAAAGAUGUAGUAAUCAUUUAUUUGCAUCAGAAGUAGCCAUACAUAAAGCUCUGUUAAACAGCGAUGUUCGAACACUAAAUCCAUAUGAAGCUGAUUUUUUCUUCGUCCCUGUUUACGUAUCGUGUAAUUUCAGCACUGUUAAUGGAUUCCCUGCUAUUGGACAUGCUCGUUCUUUAAUUUCUUCAGCUAUUAAACUCAUAUCAUCGGAAUUUAAUUUUUGGAAUCGAAGUUCAGGCUCUGACCAUAUCUUCGUUGCUUCUCAUGAUUUUGGGUCUUGUUUUCACACAUUAGAAGAUGUAGCUAUGGCAGAUGGAGUACCGGAGUUUUUGAGAAAAUCGAUUAUUUUACAAACAUUUGGUGUUAAAUACGAUCAUCCAUGUCAAAAAGCAGAGCAUAUAGUGAUUCCGCCGUAUAUUUCGCCGGAAAGUGUACGGAAAACACUAGCUACGUCGGACGUUAAUGGCCGCCGUGAUAUUUUCGCGUUUUUCAGGGGUAAAAUGGAAGUUCACCCAAAAAAAUGUCAGCGGACGUUUUUACAGCAAGAAAGUCCGUACUGUUAUAUUGAAAAAAUACGGUAGCGAUCGGAGAUUUUACCUAAAACGUAAUCGGUUUAUCGGUUAUCAAUCGGAGAUUUUACGAUCAACGUUUUGUUUAUGUCCAUUAGGAUGGGCACCGUGGAGUCCGAGAUUAGUUGAAUCAGUUGUUUUAGGCUGCGUGCCGGUAAUUAUCGCCGAUGGCAUUGAUCUUCCGUUUUCCUCCGCCGUGCCGUGGUCGGAAAUAUCCGUCACGGUGGCGGAGAAAGACGUCGGAAAACUCGGCACGAUUCUCGAGAACGUGGCAGCAACCAAUCUGAGUACAAUACAACAGAAGCUGUGGGACCCAAGAAUUUCAAGGGCCCUACUUUUUCAUGAUCGGACGGUGGAGGGUGACGCCACGUGGCAGGUUCUGCAUGCCUUGACGGAGAAAUUAAGUAGGUCCCACCAUAGGUCAAGAGUAUCGAACGAAUGAGAUCAUGACACGUGGUUAUUUGGUUAAAUAGAUUCCAGUGCCAGCUAAGAAAAAACAACAGCUAGACAAUGUAUACGCGGAGAUAGAUCAAUCGACUAUCUGAACUUUCACUUUAUUAUCGAGUCUUAUUAUCGAGUGAUGAGGAUAGUAAGCGAGGUCUCGGUGUGCUGAGUUGUUGAGGUGUGAUUGGAUGAUGAAGCGGGAUGGGUUGGACAGGAGCUUGUUAUUGUUGUACAUGUGAAAAGGAAUAUUAUUUUAUUAAUUUGGAGAGAAA
rnacentral:misc_RNA from 1 species